GCCUGAUGCAGCAACGCCGCGUGAGGGACGACGGCCUUCGGGUUGUAAACCUCUUUUAGCAAGGAAGAAGCGAAAGUGACGGUACUUGCAGAAAAAGCACCGGCUAACUACGUGCCAGCAGCCGCGGUAAUACGUAGGGUGCAAGCGUUAUCCGGAAUUAUUGGGCGUAAAGAGCUCGUAGGCGGUUUGUCGCGUCUGCUGUGAAAUCUGGGGGCUCAACCCCCAGCCUGCAGUGGGUACGGGCAGACUAGAGUGCGGUAGGGGAGAUUGGAAUUCCUGGUGUAGCGGUGGAAUGCGCAGAUAUCAGGAGGAACACCGAUGGCGAAGGCAGAUCUCUGGGCCGUAACUGACGCUGAGGAGCGAAAGGGUGGGGAGCAAACAGGCUUAGAUACCCUGGUAGUCCACCCCGUAAACGUUGGGAACUAGUUGUGGGGUCCAUUCCACGGAUUCCGUGACGCAGCUAACGCAUUAAGUUCCCCGCCUGGGGAGUACGGCCGCAAGGCUAAAACUCAAAGGAAUUGACGGGGACCCGCACAAGCGGCGGAGCAUGCGGAUUAAUUCGAUGCAACGCGAAGAACCUUACCAAGGCUUGACAUAUACAAGAACGGGCUAGAAAUAGUCAACUCUUUGGACACUCG
rnacentral:rRNA from 1 species